rnacentral:misc_RNA from 1 species
AAGUCGUAACAAGGUUUCCGUAGGUGAACCUGCGGAAGGAUCAUUACAACGUAUCCACGUAUCAAACUCUCGAACUGUUCCCAACGGAGUCAAACAACACUUGUGGAUGAAGUUAGACUGAAUGCUUUCCGCUGAUGGAGUUCGCCGACAUUAGUCAGUGAACUGGAAUGCAUUUGGUCGUCAGAGUUCGACUCUGAGACUUCGUUUACUCCGUUGUGGUUUAUCCAUCAGCUCCAUUUACCAUUAUUGACCCUUUGAAUUUAUGAACUGAACUUGAUAGCCUUGCGUUGUCCUUGCUGGCUUCGGUCACGGACUAUUCGCUUGGUUUAUCACAUUUACGAAACAAAGAACAACUCUUAGCAACGGAUAUCUUGGUUCUC